UAAUACGUAGGUUGCGAGCGUUGUCCGGAUUUACUGGGCGUAAAGCGCGCGCAGGUGGUCCUGAAAGUCGAGCGUGAAAGCUCCCGGCCCAACUGGGAGAGGCCGUUCGAAACUUCAGGACUUGAAGGCGGGAGAGGCAAAUGGAAUUUCCGGUGUAGCGGUAAAAUGCGUAGAUACCGGAAGGAACACCAGUGGCGAAAGCGAUUUGCUGGCCCGCCCUUGACACUCAGGCGCGAAAGCUAGGGGAGCGACCGGGAUUAGAUACCCCGUUAGUCCUAGCCGUAAACAAUGGGCACUAGGUGUUGUCGGUAUCGACCCCGGCAGUGCCGAAGCUAACGCAUUAAGUGCCCCGCCUGGGGAGUACGACCGCAAGGUUA
rnacentral:rRNA from 1 species